AUAUCAAUAAGCGGAGGAAAAGAAACCAACAGGGAUUGCCUCAGUAACGGCGAGUGAAGCGGCAACAGCUCAAAUUUGAAAUCUGGGCCCCCCCGAGGGGAACAGAAUUGUAAUUUGGAGAAGGUGCCUCGGGUGAGAUACCGGUCCAAGUCCCUUGGAACAGGGCGUCAUAGAGGGUGAGAAUCCCGUACGGAUCGGCCGUCAAGCCCGCCGGAGGCCCUUUCGACGAGUCGAGUUGUUUGGGAAUGCAGCUCUAAAUGGGUGGUAAAUUUCAUCUAAAGCUAAAUACCGGCCAGAGACCGAUAGCGCACAAGUAGAGUGAUCGAAAGAUGAAAAGCACUUUGAAAAGAGAGUUAAAAAGUACGUGAAAUUGUUGAAAGGGAAGCGCUUGCAACCAGACUUGCUCGCGGGUGAUCAGCCGUCCCUUCGGGGUAGGUGCACUCUCCCGCGGUCAGGCCAGCAUCGGUUCCGGCGGUCGGACAAAGGCUCCGGGAACGUAGCUCCCCUCGGGGAGUGUUAUAGCCCGAGGUGCAAUGCGGCCAGCCGGGACCGAGGACCGCGCUUAUGCUAGGAUGCUGGCGUAAUGGUUGCCAGCGACCCGUCUUGAAACACGGACCAAGGAGUCGACCAACGUCGCGAGUGCUUGGGCGUCAAACCCAUGCGCGCAAUGAAAGUGAACGGAGGUGAGAGCCCCCACCGGGGGUGCACCAUCGACCGAUCCCGAUGUCUUCGGACGGAUUUGAGUAUGAGCGUCGCCGGUCGGACCCGAAAGAUGGUGAACUAUGCGCGGAUAGGGUGAAGCCAGAGGAAACUCUGGUGGAGGCUCGCAGCGGUUCUGACGUGCAAAUCGAUCGUCAAAUCUACGCAUAGGGGCGAAAGACUAAUCGAACCAUCUAGUAGCUGGUUCCUGUC
rnacentral:rRNA from 1 species